rnacentral:lncRNA from 10 species
GAAAGAGGAUGUACUCAUUCUCAAAAUGGACCACUGGAAGUGAUGGCUAGUUGUACGAAAGUUUCCAGUGGAUGGAUGUGUCACAGAGAAAGGGGCACUGGUACAACCUUGGUGUAUGACAUGAGUAUCUGGAAUACCUGCUCAGGUCUCAAGAAAUUGUAGAAUGUGCUGGACUGCAAAAUCCUGAGAUGGGGCUGUACUGGUGAGAACGAUCUGGGAUCUAUUCUUCUCUCCCUUAGAAGCAGAAUGUUCCUCCAGGUUUUAGCAGCAUGUCAUGUCGCCCCUGAUGUAUGUCACCCUUGGGUUUGCCCUUCAUGAUCCCUCAGCUGCAGUGCAAGUGGGGCACUCACAGUCAAGACUCCAACCACACUAAGCUGCUUUCCUCAGCCUUGGGAGACCAGCUCACAAUAAAUCCUAAGCCUCCGUUGUCCCUUGCUAUCUACUUAUAAGUAAUACAUCCACUUUGUGUAACUUGUACGCACUGGUGUUGUGUCUCACCAGAUUCACACGAGUUUGUAAUCAGUGCAUCGUGAAUCGACUUCAUAUAUAAAUAAGCUAUCUAAAAUAAAUUUAUAAUAACUCAUGCAUAAUAAAGUAUAAUUUACUUUUUCAUAUGAAAGACAUUGCUGAGCAUGCGGAGAAGGA